rnacentral:rRNA from 1 species
GAUGAACGCUGACAGAAUGCUUAACACAUGCAAGUCAUUGGCGAAGCUGCGCUUGCGCAGUCUAGCCAAGGCGGACGGGUGAGUAACGCGUAAGGAACUUGCCCUGCAGACAGGGCUAACAGACGGAAACGACUGAUAACACCUGGUAUUGUCAGGCUGGCGCAUGACGGCCUGAUGAAAGGAGAAACUGCAGGAGAGCCUUGCGUCCUAUGAGCUAGUUGGUGGGGUAACGGCCCACCAAGGCGAUGAUAGUUAGCCGGCCUGAGGGGGGGAACGGCCACAAGGGGACGGAGAUACGGCCCUUACUCCUACGGGAGGCAGCAGUGGUGAAUAUUGGACAAUGGGGGCAACACUGAUCCAGCAAUUCUGUGUGCACGAAGAAGGUUUUCGGAUUGUAAAGUGCUUUCAGCAGGGAAGAAGAAAGUGACGGUACCUGCAGAAGAAGCGACGGCUAAAUACGUG